rnacentral:rRNA from 1 species
GACGAACGCUGGCGGCGUGCUUAACACAUGCAAGUCGAACGAUGAAGCCUUCGGGUGGAUUAGUGGCGAACGGGUGAGUAACACGUGGGCAAUCUGCCCUUCACUCUGGGACAAGCCCUG